UCGAGAAUCUUCGGCAAUGGGCGCAAGCCUGACCGAGCGACGCCGCGUGCGCGAUGAAGGCCUUCGGGUUGUAAAGCGCUGUCGAGGGGAGGAAAAGCCCCACAAGGGCUUGAUCGGCCCCUGGAGGAAGCACGGGCUAAGUUCGUGCCAGCAGCCGCGGUAAGACGAACCGUGCGAACGUUGUUCGGAAUCACUGGGCUUAAAGGGUGCGUAGGCGGGUUGUCCAGUCUGG
rnacentral:rRNA from 1 species